rnacentral:rRNA from 1 species
UACGAAGGGAGCUAGCGUUGUUCGGAUUCAUUGGGCGUAAAGGGUGCGUAGGUGGCGCGGUAAGUCGGGGUGUGAAAUUUUCGGAGCUUAACUCCGAAACUGCAUUCGAUACUGCCGUGCUUUGAGGACUGGGAGAGGAGACUGGAAUUUACGGUGUAGCGGUGAAAUGCGUAGAUAUCGUAAGGAAGACCAGUGGCGAAGGCGGAUCUCUGGACAGUUCCUGACACUGAGGCACGAAAGGCCAGGGGGAGCAAAACGGGG